rnacentral:rRNA from 1 species
UACGUAGGGGGCAAGCGUUGUCCGGAUCUAUUGGGCGUAAAGAGCGUGUAGGCGGCCAGGUAGGUCAGCUGUGAAAACUCGAGGCUCAACCUCGAGACGUCGGUUGAAACCACCUGGCUAGAGUCCGGAAGAGGAGAGUGGAAUUCCUGGUGUAGCGGUGAAAUGCGCAGAUAUCAGGAAGAACACCCGUGGCGAAGGCGGCUCUCUGGGACGGUACUGACGCUGAGACGCGAAAGCGUGGGGAGCAAACAGG